AUGUUAAGUACAAGAUUCAUGACUUGGUGCAUGACCUUGCUCAGUCUGUUGCCGGGGAUGAAGUCCAGAUCAUCAACUCUAAGAAUGUCAAUGGGCGCGCCGAAGCAUGCUGCCACUAUGCAUCAUUGGCUGAUGACACGAGGGCCUCUAAAGUUCUCCGGAGCACGCUCCGUAAAGUCCGCGCGUUGCAUUCCUGGGGUCAUGCUCUUGAUGUCCAGUUUUCUUCACUCCAGCUGCUUGAGAGUACUAGAUUUGCGAGGCAGCCAAAUUACGGAGCUUCCCAAGUCAGUUGGCAGAUUAAAACACUUGAGUUUCCUCUGUACAUUACCCAGCUCCAUCGGUGAACUCCAAAGUUUGCAAGACUUGAAUUUUAAAGGGUGUGUCAAUCUUAAGAUUCUGCCUGACACUAUGUGCAGACUGCAAAGUUUGCAUUUCUUGAACCUCUCACAGUGUGGAAUUCUCCGAGCACUGCCCAAAAAUAUUGGGAAUCUCUCAAAUUUGCUGCAUCUGAAUUUAUCGCAAUGCAGUGAUCUUGAGGCAAUCCCUGACUCGAUAGGCUGCAUUACAAGGCUGCAUACUCUGGACAUGUCUUACUGUAGCAGUUUGUCGGAAUUACCUCGAUCCGUUGGUGGCCUUCUGGAGCUUCAAACUCUCAUUCUAUCACAUCAUGCACGGAGUUUGGCAUUGCCCAUAGCAACCAGUCACCUACCAAACUUGCAGAUUUUGGAUCUCUCAUUGAAUAUUGGUCUGGAGGAAUUGCCUGAAUCAAUUGGUAAUCUUCAUAACUUGAAGGAGCUUAUUUUGUUCCAGUGCUGGAAUCUUCAUAAGCUACCUGAGUCUAUAGCAAACCUCAUGAUGCUGGAGAGGUUAAGCCUUGUUGGGUGUGCAGAUCUAGCCACGCUACCUGACGGCAUGACAACCAUCACUAAUCUGAAGCACCUACAAAAUGACCAGUGCCCAUCUUUGGAGAGACUACCUGAUGGAUUUGGGCAAUGGACUAAACUUGAAACAUUAUCCUUGCUCAUUAUAGGUGACACAUGCAGCAGUAUUGCGGAGCUAAAAGACCUUAUUCUUCUGAGUGGCUGUCUUAGAAUUGAAUGCCUCUCACACAAGAAGGAUUUGACUAUCGAUGCCAAGAGAGCAAACUUGAGGGAUAAGAGGAAACUAAGCAACUUGACUGUGUCAUGGACCAGUUCAUGCUCUUCUGAUGAGCUGAAGAACGUCGAAACAUUUCUUGAAGUUCUCUUGCCACCUGAAAACCUUGAGGUCCUUGAAAUAAAUGGCUACAUGGGCACUAAAUUUCCCAGCUGGAUGAUGGAGAGCAUGGAAUCCUGGCUUCCAAAUAUUACCUUCCUAAGUUUAGGCAACAUCCCUAACUGUAUAUGCCUCCCACCUCUUGGUCAUAUUCCCAAUCUCCAUUCUCUUGAGCUCCGCUGCAUUAGUGGUGUCCGUAGCAUUGGACCUGAAAUACUUGCCAAGGGACAGAAGAACACAUUGUACCAGUCACUCAAGGAACUCCAUUUUGAAGACAUGCCUGAUCUGGAGAUCUGGCCAACCUCAUUGGCAGGGGACAGUGAAGAGAGUCAACAACAGUAUUCAUGUUUCCAGUCCUUAAAACUGUCACUGCAAGUGGAUGUCCAAAGAUGA
rnacentral:rRNA from 1 species